rnacentral:rRNA from 1 species
CAAAGGCUCCAAAGGAAGCCACGGCUAACUCUGUGCCAGCAGCCGCGGUAAUGCAGAGGUGGCAAGCGUUGUUCGGAAUUAUUGGGCGUAAAGAGCACGUAGGUGGGUUUGUAAGUCAGAUGUGAAAGCCUUCUGUUCAACGGAAGAAUUGCAUCUGAAACUGCGAGUCUUGAGUGUAGGAGGGGAGAAUGGAACUUCUGGUGGAGCGGUGAAAUGCGUAGAUAUCAGAAGGAACGCCGGCGGCGAAAGCGAUUCUCUGGCCUAUUACUGACACUGAGUGUGCGAAAGCUAGGGGAGCAAACGGGAUUAGAUACCCCGGUAGUCCUAGCCGUAAA